UACGGAGGAUGCAAGCGUUAUCCGGAAUCAUUGGGCGUAAAGCGUCCGUAGGUGGCGUUUCAAGUCUGCUGUCAAAGCACAAGGCUUAACCUUGUAAAGGCAGUGGAAACUGAAAGAGCUAGAGUGCGGUAGGGGUAGAGGGAAUUCCCAGUGUAGCGGUGAAAUGCGUAGAGAUUGGGAAGAACACCGGUGGCGAAAGCGCUCUACUGGGCCUGCACUGACACUGAGGGACGAAAGCUAGGGGAGCGAACAGG
rnacentral:rRNA from 1 species